GCCGACGUAGCUCAAUUGGCAGAGCAGCAGUUUUGUAAACUGCCGGUUGCGGGUUCGAGUCCCAUCGUCGGCUCCA
rnacentral:tRNA from 1 species